rnacentral:rRNA from 1 species
GAUCAUGGCUCAGAUUGAACGCUGGCGGCAUGCCUUACACAUGCAAGUCGAACGGCAGCACGGGUGCUUGCACCUGGUGGCGAGUGGCGAACGGGUGAGUAAUACAUCGGAACGUACCUUAUCGUGGGGGAUAACGUAGCGAAAGUUACGCUAAUACCGCAUACGAUCUAAGGAUGAAAGGGGGGGAUCGCAAGACCUCUCGCUAUUGGAGCGGCCGAUGUCAGAUUAGGUAGUUGGUGGGGUAAAGGCCUACCAAGCCGACGAUCUGUAGCUGGUCUGAGAGGACGACCAGCCACACUGGGACUGAGACACGGCCCAGACUCCUACGGGAGGCAGCAGUGGGGAAUUUUGGACAAUGGGCGCAAGCCUGAUCCAGCCAUGCCGCGUGCGGGAAGAAGGCCUUCGGGUUGUAAACCGUCUUUUGUACGGAGCGAAAAGGCCCUCUCUAAUACAGGGGGUUCAUGACGGUACCGUAAGAAUAAGCACCGGCUAACUACGUG